rnacentral:rRNA from 1 species
CUGACGAACCAUGAUGUCAUUUAUUUGGUUGUUGUGGGGAAUCAGGACUGUUACUUUGAAAAAAUUAGAGUGUUUAAAGCAGGCUCACGCUUGAAUACAUUAGCAUGGAAUAAUGAAAUAGGACGUUUGAUUCUAUUUUGUUGGUUUCUAGGAUCGACGUAAUGAUUAAUAGGGAUAGUUGGGGGCAUUAGUAUUCAAUUGUCAGAGGUGAAAUUCUUGGAUUUAUUGAAGACUAACUACUGCGAAAGCAUUUGCCAAGGAUGUUUUCAUUAAUCAAGAACGAAAGUUAGGGGAUCGAAGACGAUCAGAUACCGUCGUAGUCUUAACCAUAAACUAUGCCGACUAGGGAUCGGAUGAUGUUAAUUUUUUAAUGACUCAUUCGGCGCCUUACG